rnacentral:rRNA from 1 species
UACGAAGGGGGCUAGCGUUGCUCGGAAUUACUGGGCGUAAAGCGUGCGCAGGCGGUCUUUUAAGUCAGAUGUGAAAUCCCCGGGCUUAACCUGGGAACUGCGUUUGAAACUGGAAGGCUUGAGUGUGGCAGAGGGGGGUGGAAUUCCACGUGUAGCAGUGAAAUGCGUAGAGAUGUGGAGGAACACCGAUGGCGAAGGCAGCCCCCUGGGCUAACACUGACGCUCAUGCACGAAAGCGUGGGGAGCAAACAGG